GGCCUGGAGAGUAUAAUUUCAGGUCGGACCUGCCCUAUGAAAAUUAAAUGGCCGCGGUAUAUUGACCGUGCAAAGGUAGCAUAAUCACUAGUUUUUUAAUUGAAAGCUUGAAUGAAAGGUUUGAUAGAAAAGUAGCUGUCUCUGAAAAAUUUUAUUAGAAUUUUAUUUUUAAGUUAAAAAGCUUAAAUUUUUAUAGAAGACGAGAAGACCCUAUAGAGUUUUAUAUUUGUAGGGAGAGGAAGGCUUGAAGGAAUUUAAAAGUCUUUUUUUUCAGCAAGUAUUUUGUUGGGGUGAUAGAAAAAUUGGAAGAACUUUUUCUUUUUAAAAACAUUAAUUUAUGAGUUUUUGAUCCUUGUUUUAAGAUUAGAAGAAAAAACUACCUUAGGGAUAACAGCGUAAUUUUUUUUAGAGUUCUUAUCAAAAAGAAAGAUUGCGACCUCGAUGUUGGAUUAAAAUUUAUUACUGGUGUAGAAGCUGGAUAAUUAGGUCUGUUCGACCUUUAAAAUUUUACAUGAUCUGAGUUUAAACCGGUGUGAG
rnacentral:rRNA from 1 species